rnacentral:lncRNA from 1 species
GAAGUUUCCAGGCUAGGGGUCGAAUCCAAGCUGCAACUGCCAGUCUAUGCCACAGGCACGGCAAGGCAGGAUCUGAGCUGCAUCUAUGACCUAUACACCACAGCUUACGGCAAUGCAGGAUCCCUGACCCACUGAUCAAGGUCAGGGAUCGAACCAGUACCCGCAUGGACACUAGUCAGAUUCAUUUCUGCUGUGGCACAAGGGGAACUCCUAGAGUUUUUGACUUUGAAAUAAUUUCAAGAUUACAGAAGAGCUGCAAGAACAGUACAGAAAACUCAUAGAGUCUUUAUCUAAAUUCACCAAGUUUUAACAUGCUUUCUUUCUCAAUUAAAGACCUUCUAAAAUGUUCUUUUGGAGCUUUAGGGAAAAAUGGGUGCUCUCGAGCCACCAGAAGCCUCCAGUGCUCAUGAAUCUUACAAAAUCAGUUUACUGAAAUAAGUAACCAAACAUAGGACCAAAAGACAACCCAACCCCAACCCAUCCUGACCAUCCACCAGGACCUCACAGGAGGGCCUGAACACUUUAAAACUAGAUUACCAGACAUGCAAGAAAAGCUAGGGAAACAUGGAAAAAUGUUAAAAGCUGGGGGGCAGAGGUGACUGGCCUUACCAGAUAUUAAACCAUACUAUAAAGCCACUAUAGGAGUUCCCGUUGUGGCACAGUGGAAAUGAAUCUGACUAGGAACCAUGAGAUUGCGGGUUCAAUCCCUGGCCUCGCUCAGUGGGUUAAGGAUCUGGCAUUGCUGUGAGCUGUGGUGUAAGUCGUAGAUGCAGAUUGGAUCUGGCACUGCUGUGGAUCUGGCGUAGGCCAGCAGCUGUCUGAGCUGUGUUUGCAACCUACACCAUGGCUCAUGGCAACACCAGAUCUUUAACCCACUGAGUGAGGUUAGGGAUCGAAUCCCCAUCCUCAUGGAUCCUAGUUGGGUUCCUUAACUGCUGAGCCACAAAGGGAACUCCUGCCCUAACUCCUGAAGUGCUCCAACUGCCCUGGGUAUCUGCUUCGAUUUGAAUGCAGUUUCAAAAGUCUGAUUUUUUUCCUCCAUGGCAGCCCUAGAGCUUAUCGUGCAUUUUGUACAGCACCUGAUUCCCAUAUCACAUACGCAGUAUAAGUCCCUCCUGCCACACACCAGUCUGCAUGUAAUUCUUGUUAUGCUCAUUUUGAAGAGGAGAAGGUUAAGUUUCAGAGACCUGCCCAGGAUCACGGGGUUUAAGUAACAGAAUAGGGAAUCUUAUUUGUAUCUUCCGUCUCCAAAUGCUAGAUUUCACCCCCAAACCUUGUUAUUUGCUCUCAGUCCCUUUAACCAGAACCACCUGAUGGACACCCCUCACAAGCCUGAUGCAAGCUGUCCUCCUCAAUGAUGCCAGGACCCCUCAGGACAGUAACCUGAAAGCCUGAUCCCCUUUCUUCUAAGGGCAGCAAGCAGGAAAUAGCUUUCACUCAUAACCUUUGGGAAGGUCAGGGUAAGGCAAUGAACACUGUUUCAUCCUAUGAUCUUUCAGGCACUGCAUUAAGCACUUUACUAACAUAAUCUGAGAAAUAAUGCAUCUCCCCAGAGAAAUGAAAUCAUACCCACAUAUGUUCUUCUAUACUAACCUUCAAAACAUCACAUCCGUGAUGGCUGUAAAGUGGAAACAGCCCAAAUGCCAUCAACUAAUGAAUAAACAAAAUGAGGCAUAUCCACACAAUGAAAGAACAUUCAGCCAUCAAAGGAAGGACCUACUGACAUUCUACAAGGUGGAUGAGCCUUGAAGACAUGAUGCUAAAUGAACAGAAGCCAUUCACAAAAUGCCACAUAUUGUCUAAGCCCAUUUAUGUAAAAUGUCUGGAACAGGGAUAUCUACAGAGACAGGAAAUAGAUUACUGGUUGCUCAGGCCUUGAAGGAAUGGAGUGGGGCACUGGGGGUGAGGGCUAAGGGGUAUGGGUUUCCUCUUUGGAGCAAAGAAAAUGUUCUAAAUGUUCUAAUGGGCUCUAGUGAGAGUGGCACCACACGGUGAAUAUACUAAAAACCUUUAAACU